rnacentral:tRNA from 1 species
AAGUGAUCUUGGACAAGUGCUAAUUUUUCCAAGCCAUGGUUGGACUCCAUGGGUCCCUUA